GAUGAACGCUGGCGGCGUGCCUAAUACAUGCAAGUCGAGCGAACAGACGAGGAGCUUGCUCCUCUGACGUUAGCGGCGGACGGGUGAGUAACACGUGGAUAACCUACCUAUAAGACUGGGAUAACUUCGGGAAACCGGAGCUAAUACCGGAUAAUAUAUUGAACCGCAUGGUUCAAUAGUGAAAGACGGUUUUGCUGUCACUUAUAGAUGGAUCCGCGCCGCAUUAGCUAGUUGGUAAGGUAACGGCUUACCAAGGCAACGAUGCGUAGCCGACCUGAGAGAGUGAUCGGCCGCACUAGAACUGAGACACGGUCAAGGCGCCUACGGGAGGCAGCAGUAGGGAAUCGUACGCAGUGGGCGAAAGCAUGGCGGAGCAACGCCGCGUGAGUGAUGAAGGUCUUCGGAUCGUAAAACUCUGUUAUGAGGGAAGAACAAAUGUGUAAGUAACUAUGCACGUCUUGACGGUACCUAAUCAGAAAGCCACGGCUAACUACGUG
rnacentral:rRNA from 1 species